rnacentral:rRNA from 1 species
ANNUUAUAUGAUCAUGGCUCAGAUUGAACCGCUAGCGUAAAUAGCCUUACACAUAGCAAGUACGAACGGCAGCACGGACUAUACGGUACUAGGUAGGCGAGUAGGCGAACGGGUAGAGUAAUAGUAUACGGAACGUAGCCCAGUAGCGGGGGAUAACUACGCGAAAGCGUAGCUAAAUAACCGCAUAACGCCCUAACGGGGGAAAAGCACGAGGCGAUACGCAAGACCUUAGACACUAAUUAGGAGCGGCCAGAUAUACAGGAUUAGCUAAGUUGUGUAGGGGUAACAGGCUACACCAAGGCGACCGAUCCGUAGCUUGGUUUUGAGAGGACGACCAGACCACAACUAGGGGCACUNGANAGAACCACUGGCACCAAGAGAACUCCUACGGGAAGGCAGCAGUUAGGGGGCGAAUUUUUAGAGAACGAAUAGCGGGGUGAAAAACCCCCGUGAAUACACGAGGCCCAAUCCCCCGCCGANUUGUUGCGAUUGAAGCGAGGCCCCUNUCCGGGGGUUUGGUAAAAAGGCGACUAUUUNUUGGGCCACGGGAAAGAGACAAACGNUCCAUUGGGGUUUAAAUUUAACCCCCCGGGUGGCAAAAACCGUUGGAACCGGGUUACCCCCAUAGGCAGGAAAAUUAA